UCUCUAACCUCUACUCAUGGAUGUAAUUGCAAUAUUCCCGUUUAUUUCUUGCUAUAAUUAAUAUACUAAUUAGCUUAAACUAUAUAGGUAUUACACAACACAUGACUGAGACUAAUAAAAUGACUGUUUCAUCUCCAUUCUUUGAAAGGAGAAGAUUUAAUUAAUAGUCUGACUGAAGGAAUAGACAUCCAUUCAAAGCUAAUGAGUAUAAGUCCUCUUCCUAUUGCAAAAACUAUUCUAUGCUGGAAAAUUUUGGUUUUUGAGCAAUAAUCUACAGGUAAUUCAAAUUCGACCAACACCAUUGGGAUCUCAGAAACCAUAAGAGAUACA